AAAAGUCUUGUGCUCAAAGUCUGCCUCCUACUUAAUGUAUGAAGGCAGCUGUGGGAUAAUGGAAAAGAAUGCUAUACUGCUGUUAGAUUGUGAGCUUUUCACUUAUUUAUUUAUUACAUAUUCUUACACAGAAUUUGCUAUAUGCCGCUUUCCUAGGCCUGGGAAUAUAGAAUAAAUAUGAGAGUCAUCCAGAGUGUUGUGGAGGAGGUUCACUUUAGUGAACAGAGGAAUCUUUUCAGAAGAGUUAGAAUUUCAGCUGAGACCCAAGCCUUGAGAGAAAACCACCUAAGACAAGAAUCAGGAACAUUCCAGGCAGAGGAAAUAGCCAAUGUAAAGGUACUGGGGCAGGAAAGAGCUUAUUGUAUUUGAGACAUAAAAUGGAAAAGCAAUAAAAUAAAAUGGAAAUGUGGCAAGGAAAGAAGAAAAUGAGGCUUACAGAAGUGGUGGGCGCUAGGUCCUAGAAAUGCCUAUAUGGAAUAGACGGGCAUAUGUGUUUAAUUCAGUGUAUAGUAGGAAAAUCAUUAAAAGGUUUGAAGUAAAAAAAAUGAUAAGCUCUAGCUGACACCUUUCAGUAAGAAUCUGGCUAAGAUGUAGAGAACAAAUUUAAGAAAACAAGCAUGAAAAGUGAGAGAAGGAGUGAAGAGGUUGCUACCAAGUCCAGCAAGAAAUGCUGGUGGUUUGGCCCAGGGUGGUGAUAGAGAAGCGGGAACAGGGAGAUGGAUGGAGAGAGAAAGGGACAGUCCCUGAAUCUGGAGAUAUACAGGGUAGAUGGUAGAUUUGGUGUGGGAGGAAUCCCUAUAUGUUAGCACAGUGGAUGGGAUAGGUACUCAAAAGUUUUCUUGGAAGUGAACUAAAUUUGAAGUUUCAGUUGAAUUUCAACUUUUGCCCUUUGUACACCUGUGGACAAAUCCAUAACCUCUCUCAGUGAAGGUUGAAGGGAAUGUCAGAUCUCCAAGUCCUUUGUAAGCAGGUGUCUUAGUCCAUUUUCUGCUGCCAUCACAGAAUUGGAUCAUUUCUAAAGAACAGAAAUUUAUUUGGCCCAUGGUUCUGAAGACUGGGAAGUUCAAGGGCAUGGUACUGACAUCUGGUGAGGGUUAUCCCUUGGAGAAAGGGUAGAGGGUAGAAGGAGGCACAGGAGACAGAGAGGGAAGUAGGCCGAACUUACCCUUUUAUGAAGAUCCCACUCCCAUGAUAACGGCAUUAACUUCAUUCAAAAUGACAGAGCUGUUGUGGCCUAAUCACCUUUUAAAUGUCCUACCUCUUAAUAUUAUUUAGGUGGCAAUUAAAUUUCAAUGUGAGUUUUGGCAAAAACAGUCAAGCCAGAUCAAUGGCCAACUGCCCAGAUGGAGGGGUCAUCAUGAAGAUGGACAUUUCUGGAGAUGUCAGUGUCCAUAUUGGUUUUACCAGGGGUUCUUAGUAUUCACUGAGCAGGGCCUGGGCAGGUGACCAGGAAAACGUUGCCUUUUAUUUCUGCCUCCACCCUGACUUUGAGCUGAACUCCCCAUGGACCUUCACAGGGCAGAAAAGCACUAACUCUCCUUGACCUUCUGUGAUUGACUCUGGAUGAGUUUGUCCAGAAACUUGUCAGUUCAGAUGCUCAUUUGGCUGAUGGACAAGAAGCUUGUGGGAACCAGGCUGCUACCACAGACCCAUCUAAGGAAAAUCAAAGAGCAGCCAGGGGGCUUUUAGAGGCUUAUUCAUCAUAGAGAGCAUUUGGGUAUAUGGUUAAUUAUAUGCUUUAUUACGGAUGCUAAUUUGUGCUGGAAGCUGAUACAGUGUGUGUUAGCAUUUAGCUUUAGCUAAUGAAGUUGGGUUAAGCAUUCAAUAUAUCACUGAGCUCACAAUUUCUCCGCUUGGCUAGAACAACAUGGUGUGGAAAACUGAGGGGUGAUGGUGUUGGGGAAGAGAAAACAUUCACACAGUGAGUUUCUUCCCUGUAACUCUAGAAUGUCUUCAAUACUGCAUUGUGCUUGCACCAUUUUAAUAUGAGAUAAUUUUCAGUGGAUAAAACCCUGGGCAUGUGUUAAAAAAGAAGUAUUGUUGUGAUUACUUAUUAGCAUAAUCAGAAAAAGCCCCUGUGUGGGCUCCAAUGAGGCCAACUGGAGCCCUGUGGUUUCUUUUUUAAAAGUCCUCAUAUUUUAAGAAGAAGAAAAGGAUGCUGGCAUAAAAAUGCAUUCAGUGUGUUUCACUCAGCUCAGUACCUAACUUAAAUCAUCGCUGAUAACUUUAAAAUACAGAGGAUAAACAAACUUAUGUUUGACCUUGGCAAUAAAGAAAAUCAUCUAUUUGCUCUGCUCCCAUUGGUGUUAAGAGAAGCUAUGCAUGUAAAUCCCUGACACAUCAAUGAAAUAAUAAACUCCUGGGUGAGCCAUUUAAUUUCUCUUUCCUAGCUACCUUUCAUACUGGGCUAAAAGAAGGGGGAGAAAACCAAUGUCCUCUGUAAAGACAACUUAGGUUGACUCUGAUUCUUAGGCAUUCUUUCUUAGAGCCCAGCUCUAGAGACUGGGAACCCAGAGGGUCUGACAGGGAAGGAAUUGAGCUGCCAACAUGGGGACCAUCACUGGAGACCUGAGCCUUGCAGAAAGCCUGAUUUGAUAGCCUGCCUGAGUCCAUUUGCCUCCCUUCCUCCCUCCCCUAACCAAGGCUUCAGUUGUACCUAUCUGUCCUCUACUGGGAGUUCAUACAAGCUCCAGCUGCUUUGGGAUGUGUUACAGUCUUGAUGGGUCAAGUAAGAGGCUACUUCUUCUUGAGUACUUACUGUAUUAGACCAUUUUCAUACUGCUAGAAAGAAAUAUCCAAGACUGUGUAAUUUAUAAAGAAAAAGAGGUUUAAGGAACUCACAGGUCCACAUGCCUAGGUAGGCCCCACAAUCAUGGUGUAAGGUAAAGGAGGAGCAAAGGCAUGUCUCACAUGGCGGCAGGCAAGAGAACGUGUGCAGGGGAACUGCCCUUUAUAAAACCAACACUCGUGAGACUUAUUCACAAUAACUUGUGAGGCUUAUUCAUUAUCAUGAGAACAGCAUGGGAAAAACACACCCCCAUGAUUCAGUUUUCUCCCACUGGGUCCCUCCUAUGACACGUGGGGAUUAUGAGAGCUACAAUUCAAGAUAAGAUUUGGGUGGGGACAUAGCCAAACCAUACCACUUACUAAGUGCCAACUGCUGUGCUAGGCAUUUGAAGGCAGUAUCUCAUUCAGUCCUCACAGGAGACUUACUGAAGCCAGUGUUCCUAGGACUCCUGAAUUGCAGAUAAGAAAAAUUGAAGGCACAGAGCUGGUAAGGGGAAGUGACUGUUAACUUACACCGAUUCUAGAGUUUAAUGUUCUGAACGAAGAGCUGGCAAACUUUUUCUCUGAAGGGCACAGAAUACAUAUUUUUGCCCUGCCAGUCAUUAUGGUGUUUGUUGAAAUAACUCACCACUGUUAUUGUACAGGGGAAGACAGCUACAGACAAAAUACAAAUAACAUGUUCCACUAAAAAUAUAUUUACAAAAGGGUGUGUAACCAGAUAUGGCUGUCAGGCCCUAGUUUGCCAACUCUGUUCCUAAACGGUUUUCCUUUUCACUUCCCCAGGCUCUUUGGUGAAGAGAUCAGGCUUUGGAGUCUGACAGAGCCAGGUUCACAUUCAGUCUCUGCCACUCACUUGCUGUGCUCUGUUCGAGAAAUCUCUUAAUCUCUGGGAGCUUGGUUAGUUUUUUUCCAUCUGUGAAAUUGGCAGAAGGCCAACCAAACAUGGUAGUUGUGAAAAUCAAAUGCAAAACCAUGUGUGAAAUAUGGAAUACAGGGUUCAGCACUGGGACAGCUGUUGAACUGUGGACUCGGGCUCUUGAGAGGUGGUCUAACAAGGGUGCUCCUGCCUCUGGGAAGAGAGCAUCGGCGUAGGCCUGUCUUCUGUGGCUAAGCAGCCCCAGAUCAGGCAGAGGAAGGUUCCAAGUCCAUGCAGACUUCAGCUUUAGUCUUCAGCACUGAAUCCUUGUUUCUGCCUCCAUAAGAAUACCUUUCUAUCAGGGAACCAAAGUCAGGAGCUUACAAUGGAAAUUCAGGCCCUGGAGAACCUGGUGUACAUGAGCCCCAAUAUUAAAGCACAAAGGAGGAAACCAAGACAUUUUAAAAGUGCUUUUAGAGAUGGUAAGAGACACAAAGAGUCUCUCAUUGUUUUAUACUUGUAAAGAGACCCCUGCUGGAUUCCCAGGUAUAAUCUGCAGUAAAAAGCUACAGGGUUACAACAAGACAUUUGAUUCCAUUGACUCACUUCCUUUUUUUCCUCACAGCUUCUGGCAUAAAAACGCAAACCAGAGAGACACUUUAGAAUCAGCUUCUGCAGUGCUUUUUCUAUCAGCUGCUGACAGUAGAAAUACAAAGAUGGUGACAUGAUACAAUUGCUGUUAAUAUCUAAACUUCUGAUAUGAUCAUCCUAGAAGAACGACAGUCAUCAGCUCUCUGCUCAUGGCUCCCCAGGGCACAGAACACUAGGCAAUUAAAUGACAGAAUUACUUUGAAAUAAUGUUAAUGGUGCUAAUGAGAACGUGAAGGACAGGCAGGCUGGGGUCCUAGCACAGACUCAGGCAGGCAGAGUAAGUAGGGUUGGGCAUGGUACAUGGUUUUGCAUAACAAUAGUGUUAUGCACAUUUAUCUCUUUUCCUUUACGGAGACGAGCAAAGAAUGAUUCAUUCCUUUCUCUCCUGUCAUUUGCUUAGUAGACUAAACCGAAAAAAGCAUUUACAUAUUAGUUCACAUAACUGAAAAAUCCAGAGGUGUACGGUCCUCAGGUAUAGCUGGAUCCAGGAGCUCAAACCAUGUUGUCAGGACUUAGUGUCUCUCUCUCUCUGUCUUUUCUGUCUCUCUCUAUAUAUCUCCCUCGCUUCUGGAAUAGAUGGAAAACAGUAGAAAGCCCCAAGGGCAAUAAAAUCUUAUAACUAAGGUAUACAGUUUGGUGAGGGUGGUCAGAAAAAUUUGCAGGCUAAGGAAGUGUUCGAGUUUGAAACUAUAGCCUCCAAAGAGAGAUCUGAGGCAGUGUGUUUUGACCUGUGCCCUCUGAGCACUUACAGAAGAGCUUUCUGGGACUGGUUGCCAUGAGGCAGUUUCCUGGGCUUCAUCUCACACCUACAGAAUGUGAUUCCCAGGAAAAGGUCUUUAGCUAUGCAUUUUUUUUUAGCAAGCUCCCUCCAAAUCUUGUACACACUUCCAUUUGGAACAGUCUUAGUUGUAACAGGCUUUCAUUCUACACAAUUAAUAAAUGUAACCUGUAGGGUGGAUACUUUAAAAAAAAAAAUUCUGAACACGGACUCUGGAAGGCUGUGGGAUCCUCCUGCUCUCCAGGGUCCUUGAGUAACAUACACAGGCACUCUUGACUACAGGUGAAUUCUGCUGUAGGCAGAGAGCCUCCCUGGGACCCUAAAAGGAGACAGUGUUUUCUUUUUCAUGCGACAGUGCAGAAAGCAUGGAAAUCUUCUGAAAAGCCCAUCUCUAGCUGGCUUUUCCUCUGGAUGAUUUGCUUAGAGAAAAGAGCCUGGCAGGUAUAAAGGCCCCAGGACAUUUCCAUGAGCUCCUUUCAUCCAUCAUUCUCAUCUUGGAAAGGGAAAGUGCAGUGCCCCUAAUUCAUGUGCUCCUCAAUCAAUCUUCCUGCUACGCUACAUCCUAACAUGGGAUCUGUAGUCUACAGAGAGAUGGCUAAAUCAUCAUUCUUGCUCUGCCCCUUACAAACUGAGUGACCUUGAACAAGGUAUUUAACACCUCUGAGUCUUAGUUUUCUCAUAAGCAGCACCUGUCUCACUACGUGGUGGAUGCAAAUUAAGAGAGAAUGCAUUAGAGGCCUUUAGCAUAAUAUCUGGCAUCUAGUAAGUGCUCAGUAAAUAUCAGCUACUAUGAUUUGGUUAGUUCUUAUUAGUACUUAAUCUGUAAUGUGCAUAGAGAGAAGAAAUAAGAUUUUAAUAUAAGAAGGCUAUCAGCCUCUCACAUCCUUUGCAAAUGAACAUUGGGCCAAUAGGGCCAUGGAGAAAGGUUUGGCUUUAAUUACAUAUAAUUACACAGAAGGGAUAAUGAAUACUUAGUUCAUUUCCAUCAGGGUCUCAGCAGAGCUUGGUAGUUAAGACCAUGACUUUUGGUGCAAGACAGACUUGGGUGUGAGCCUGGCUCUGUCACUAGUUCUAUGAUUUUGGGCGAGUUACUGAACCUCUCCAACCUCAAUUUACUAGUCUAUAAAAUGGGAAUACUAAUAGGAUUCAUAGCAUUGUGUUCUUGUGAGGGUUAAUUGAUGGUUGGAGGUAAACUAUUUGGCAUAUUUCUGCUCCAUGGAGAAUGACCUACCACCACCACCUCACCAUCUACAUAGAUCCUUGUCAACAGAGCAAUCUGUGUGUUUCUUAUACUUUACAAAAAGACAAUUCAGUUGAGUGUGUCUUUUUUCCCCAUUUAAAAUGGCUGUGCAAUAUGUUGUAAAAUUUCUUACUCUGUACACUAAUUAUAUCACCAAGGAGGGGCUCUACCCAGCUAGAAAGGAGAAGCUUGGGUUAGAAGAAUGGAAGUAGGGGGAUUUAAUGCCUUUCUAAGGUUACUGAAGGCUAUGAAUAGUCUAAAAUCCUUGGAGUUGAGGGUGAAGACUGCAUUAUGAAACCCUCUUUGCUGGAUUUAUUUAUGUUCCUUCUCUUUGUCUCCUUUCUUUCUCUCCCCUUCUCUUCUCUUUUCUUUCUUUAGAUAGAUAUGGAGAUGGAGACAUAGCGAUCCCUCACUGCCCUUGAAAUUGGGCCGAACCUUUUUUUUCUAUAGCAGAUGCUCAUAAAACACAAAAGCGCCCAUUUGUUUCUUCCUGCUUAUUCAUUCUUGCAACAAAAUAACAGGAGGAUGGAGGGAGGCAUUAUCAAAGGCAUUUUUGUUCAAAGGAAAAACUCCUCAAUGAUCACUAUUACCGUUAGAAGUCCCUUUUGCUUCUUUGACAGCAUAAUCACUUUUCUCUCCUUGAUUUUUGCCUGUAUCCCUGAGGCACCCGAACAUGAGACAGUUUUCCCUUUUUCAAGAUGUGUCUGAUGCACAGAAUGCAGCAGAGGAAGCUCACGAUGACCCUGGAGCAUGGCUGGAGCAUGGCCAGGCCAUGCACAGCUGGGUCUGUGUUGCCGCUGGUGGGAGGCGUAUCGCUACUGGGGUACAGGAGGAUUUUGGGAGGCCCAUGGACAAAGCAUCCAAAAAAACCAGCAGAUCACAAGCAAUGUGGCCAAGUGCUACAUCCAAGGAGCCAAGAGAGAAGAGAAGGAGAAGUCCAUGUGGAAAUAAGAGCUAUGGCUGGGUUGUUUAAUUAGAGAGAAAAGAAGACGCCAGGAGAAAUGAAGGAACAAAGGACCCUUCACAGUGUGAUAAGAUACAGAUAGUCAGCCUCUGCAGAGUGGUGAUGAAAUGUGUUAAAGUGAUGGCUGUCACUUCAUGACAUGUCGGCGUGCUUUAUUGGUGGGUUGGCACAAUUUAUUUAAACAUUGUCAGGAGGGAUUCAUUUUUGUGUAGUUAGAAGUUGUGUUUCUUGAGUGUGAAUAAAUACCUCUGGGUCCGUACGCAA